rnacentral:rRNA from 1 species
UACGAAGGGGGCUAGCGUUGCUCGGAAUCACUGGGCGUAAAGCGCACGUAGGCGGCUUUCUAAGUCAGGGGUGAAAUCCUGGAGCUCAACUCCAGAACUGCCCUUGAUACUGGAGAGCUUGAGUUCGGGAGAGGUGAGUGGAACUGCGAGUGUAGAGGUGAAAUUCGUAGAUAUUCGGAGGAACACCAGUGGCGAAGGCGGCUCACUGGUCCAUUACUGACGCUGAGGUGCGAAAGCGUGGGGAGCAAACAGG